AUCUUAUAUAGAUGUAGUGACGCAAGACAGUGACGCAUUUCCCUUUAAGAUAGGUUUUAAGACAGAAGCUCUAACAGCAAGUUUUAUUGUGAAGCAAUAGUUGAAAUAAAAUGAGUUAGAGUGGGAUAGGUUAACCGUAAGACCUUAAGUUGGAAAACUUUAAAUUGGAUCUAAGAGUCAAAUUUCUUAAUUUUCGUACUUUUUAGUUACGGUUGC
rnacentral:sRNA from 12 species